AGGGAAUAGAUACCCGGGUAGUCCUGGCAGUAAACGGUGCACGUUUGGUGUGGGCGCAAUCGACCGCGUCCGCGCCGGAGCUAAACGCGUUAAACGUGCCGCCUGGGAAGUACGGUCGCAAGAUUAAAACUCAAAGAAAUUGACGGGGACCCGCACAAGCGGUGGAGUAUGUGGCUUAAUUCGAUGCAACGCGAAGAACCUUACCUGGUCUUGACAUGCAUUGUGUCUCCGGUGAAAGCCGGAUAGGGCAGCAAUGCCCGCUUUGCACAGGUGCUGCAUGGCUGUCGUCAGCUCGUGUCGUGAGAUGUUGGGUUAAGUCCCGCAACGGGCGCAACCCCUGUGAUUUGUUGCCACCGGCUUAUGCCGAGCACUCGAAUCAGACUGCCUCGAUCAACGAGGAGGAAGGUGGGGAUGACGUCAAGUCCGUAUGGCCCUUACGACCAGGGCUGCACACGAUACUACAUGCUC
rnacentral:rRNA from 1 species